rnacentral:rRNA from 1 species
CAGCAGCCGCGGUAAAACGGAGGGUGCAAGCGUUACUCGGAAUCACUGGGCGUAAAGGACGCGUAGGCGGAUUAUCAAGUCUCUUGUGAAAUCUAACGGCUUAACCGUUAAACUGCUUGGGAAACUGAUAAUCUAGAGUAAGAGAGAGGCAGAUGGAAUUCUUGGUGUAGGGGUAAAAUCCGUAGAGAUCAAGAAGAAUACCCAUUGCGAAAGCGAUCUGCUGGAACUUAACUGACGCUAAUGCGUGAAAGCGUGGGGAGCAAACAGGAUUAGAUACCCCCGUAGUCCCUGUCUCUUAUAC